UUGGUGAAUAAGAUGAUUUAUGAACUCAAAGGGGCAUAUGUUUAACCUUAUGAGUUAAUUUGAAGAUAUUAUCAUGUACAUCCGGUCUGUUUGAAGGGUUAGUCUACCAGAUGAAGGACAAGGUGAAAGCAAGGUCUCAGUGCGCUUUUAAAUCGACAAAAUAUGAAUACAAGGUGAAUAGUGCAUUAAGAUAUGAAUACCAUAUGGAAUACAAGGUGAAGAGUACAUUAAAUCGACAAAACAGGCACUCUCUAUCAUCCAGAUGAUAAGAAUGGCACUCGUGAGGAUCCAUCCGUUGAGUAAGAGGCCGACCGGACAUUUUUCAAGGAAUCACAACUCUUCUUCGAACUGGAAUAUCACAAUUCUUUUGUAUGACCAUUGCUUUGAGUCAUCUAGAAAAUCCUGACACCUUACAUUCCUACAUGUAAUGAGAACCCAAACAUGUAUGUGAGCAGUGCGUUCGGGUGGGAAGUAUAGUCGCUUGAUGAUGGAUCACUAGUAGAAGGAGGUAGGCUAUAUAUGGAUGGAAAUGUUAUGUACAUCUUCCAUUAUAGGAGUACGGUAUAUAGUAUGGAAAGGUAGGUGAGCAACAAUGCUGCUCUAUAGCCGAAAUAAAGUAACCAAACUACCCAAUACAAUUUUUUUGUACAAACACGGAAUCAUACCCAUUCACACUAUCUAAUCAAUAAAUUCAUGGUCUAGAGGAAUUGGAGGUCCCUUUAUCAAAAAAAGAAAUUGAUGAGGUUGUUAAAAACAGCCCAAUGGAUAAAGCUCAUAGGCCAGAUGGAUUAAAU
rnacentral:lncRNA from 1 species